rnacentral:tRNA from 1 species
GGCCAGGUGGCAGAGAGGAAAUGCGACGGUCUGCAACACCGUUUUUCACCGGUUCGAAUCCGGUCCUGGCCUCCA